rnacentral:rRNA from 1 species
GACGAACUCUGGCGGCGUGCUUAACACAUGCAAGUCGAACGGUAAGGCUCCAGCUUGCUGGGGUACACGAGUGGCGAACGGGUGAGUAACACGUGGGUGACCUGCCCUGCACUUCGGGAUAAGCCUGGGAAACUGGGUCUAAUACCGGAUAGAACCGCACCGUGAGGGUGUGGUGGAAAGUUUUUUCGGUGUGGGAUGGGCCCGCGGCCUAUCAGCUUGUUGGUGGGGUAAUGGCCUACCAAGGCGGCGACGGGUAGCCGGCCUGAGAGGGUGGACGGCCACAUUGGGACUGAGACACGGCCCAGACUCCUACGGGAGGCAGCAGUGGGGAAUAUUGCACAAUGGGCGGAAGCCUGAUGCAGCGACGCCGCGUGGGGGAUGACGGCCUUCGGGUUGUAAACUCCUUUCACCAUCGACGAAGGGUUUCUGACGGUAGAUGGAGAAGAAGCACCGGCUAACUACGUGCCAGCAGCCGCGGUAAUACGUAGGGUGCGAGCGUUGUCCGGAAUUACUGGGCGUAAAGAGCUCGUAGGUGGUUUGUCGCGUCGUCUGUGAAAUUCCGGGGCUUAACUCCGGGCGUGCAGGCGAUACGGGCAUAACUUGAGUACUGUAGGGGAGACUGGAAUUCCUGGUGUAGCGGUGAAAUGCGCAGAUAUCAGGAGGAACACCGGUGGCGAAGGCGGGUCUCUGGGCAGUAACUGACGCUGAGGAGCGAAAGCAUGGGGAGCGAACAGGAUUAGAUACCCUGGUAGUCCAUGCCGUAAACGGUGGGCGCUAGGUGUGGGUUUCCUUCCACGGGAUCCGUGCCGUAGCUAACGCAUUAAGCGCCCCGCCUGGGGAGUACGGCCGCAAGGCUAAAACUCAAAGGAAUUGACGGGGGCCCGCACAAGCGGCGGAGCAUGUGGAUUAAUUCGAUGCAACGCGAAGAACCUUACCUGGGCUUGACAUAUACAGGAUCGCGCCAGAGAUGGUGUUUCCCUUGUGGCUUGUAUACAGGUGGUGCAUGGUUGUCGUCAGCUCGUGUCGUGAGAUGUUGGGUUAAGUCCCGCAACGAGCGCAACCCUUGUCUUAUGUUGCCAGCACGUUGUGGUGGGGACUCGUAAGAAACUGCCGGGGUUAACUCGGAGGAAGGUGGGGAUGACGUCAAAUCAUCAUGCCCCUUAUGUCCAGGGCUUCACACAUGCUACAAUGGUCGGUACAGUGGGUUGCCAGUCCGUGAGGGCGAGCUAAUCCCGCAAAGCCGGUCUCAGUUCGGAUCGGGGUCUGCAACUCGACCCCGUGAAGUCGGAGUCGCUAGUAAUCGCAGAUCAGCAACGCUGCGGUGAAUACGUUCCCGGGCCU